rnacentral:rRNA from 1 species
AUUCCCUGGUGACCGAUAGCGGAUAGUACCGUGAGGGAAUGGUGAAAAGUACCGCGGGAGCGGAGUGAAAUAGUACCUGAAACCGUGUGCCUACAAGCCGUGGGAGCGUCGCCGUUGUUCUUCGGAACAACGGUCGUGACUGCGUGCCUUUUGAAGAAUGAGCCUGCGAGUUAGCGGUGUGUAGCGAGGUUAACCCGUGUGGGGAAGCCGUAGCGAAAGCGAGUCCGAAUAGGGCGAUUGAGUUGCACGCUCUAGA